GGAAUAUUGGUCAAUGGGCGAGAGCCUGAACCAGCCAUGCCGCGUGCAGGAAGACGGCCUUCUGGGUUGUAAACUGCUUUUCUACAGGAAGAAAAAGGUCAUGCGUGACCAAUUGCCGGUAUUGUAGGAAUAAGCACCGGCUCACUCCGUGCCAGCAGCCGCGGUAAUACGGAGGGUGCAAGCGUUGUCCGGAUUUAUUGGGUUUAAAGGGUGCGUAGGCGGGAGAUUAAGUCCGUGGUGAAAGCCCACAGCUCAACUGUGGAACUGCCAUGGAUACUGGUUUUCUUGAAUUCAGUAAAGGUAGGCGGAAUUGAUGGUGUAGCGGUGAAAUGCAUAGAUACCAUCAGGAACACCGAUUGCGAAGGCAGCUUACUGGGCUUGAAUUGACGCUGAGGCACGAAAGCGUGGGGAUCG
rnacentral:rRNA from 1 species